rnacentral:sRNA from 1 species
CCCGGGUGGAGCUGGCUGAGUCGCGCGCUCUGCUCCACACGACGGGGCUGUGUGUGCUGGGCCUGGCUCGCGGCGAACCGAGAUGGCAGAGCAGUCGGACGAGGCCGUGAAGUACUACACCCUGGAGGAGAUUCAGAAGCACAACCACAACAAGAGCACCUGGCUGAUCCUGCACCACAAGGUGUACGAUUUAACCAAAUUUCUGGAAGAGCAUCCUGGUGGGGAAGAAGUUUUAAGGGAACAAGCUGGAGGUGACGCUACUGAGAACUUUGAGGAUGUCGGGCACUCUACAGAUGCCAGGGAAAUGUCCAAAACAUUCAUCAUUGGGGAGCUCCAUCCAGAUGACAGACCAAAGUUAAACAAGCCUCCGGUAAGUGUGACCAUCUCAAGUGUCUCUGGAUGUUCUCAUUGUCUUUAAUACUUGUCAAACUGAAGGCAGAGGGUUUUUAUUUACCUGACUGAGGCCAGCACAGGUCUUUCUAGAUAAGUGAAUAUGUAACCUACUGGCUCAGCAAAUACUUUUUAUUUACGGAAACCUGUCAGUAUGAUUUGUUAGGAUGGCUUGUGUGUAAUUUUUUUAAGGCUGUCAAUAAACUACUUUUUUCAUCAUAAUUAUCAAUAUAUACCCUUUGAAGAGCUACUUUUUAUAGUAGCACAUGCUUCUGAUCUAAAAGAUUUGACACAAGCCUUAUUUUCAGAGAAGUUAAAAUCUGAAAGGAUAGUGGUUUUAUUACUUAAAUCUUUUAAGGGUGCGUCUCAUGUCUUCUUCAUCUGUAAGUCUCUUGGGCAUAGUAGGUGUUCAAUAAAUAUUUGUCAGAUGAAUUUAAUGAAAUUAAAUAAUACCCUUUUGACUUACUUUUCCUUGGGAAAGGAAAAUAACUCUGGCAAUACUAGUUUUAUGUUCUGAUUCACUAGCCUUUCUCUCUGAACUGACCAUCUCACUUAUAUUUGAAGAUAAAUGUAGGGUGAGAAUGGAAGAGCACAGCCUAAGUUCCUGAAAAGUACAAGUAGGCAAAAUAGUUUCUAGUGUCUAAUUAAAGGACUAUGGGGGAAAGUUUUGCUUAGAACAAAUGACAAAACAGAAAGUAUAAUUUUUCGUUUUGGUGUAAAUUCUUGGUUUCAUUAGAGAAAAUGCAACAGCAAGACCCCACUGAGCUUGUGUCGAGAACUGGUGAGCUGAUUUUUUGAGCUGUUGCUGCCAAGAUAUCUUCUUUAAUCUAUUAAAGGAUCAAAGCAGUUAAUCCAAUAAUAUAAGCAUAAAGGCCACAUUUACCUCAACAUCCCUGAUGGUGCAAUAAAAGUCUUGUGUAAUACUGUUUAGUACAAAGCAAUUUUAUUUAUAUUCUCUCCUUAUUCAAGAAAGACUUAAGUUCAAUGUUAAUGAUAUGAGUACUUCCAGAAGAUAAAAAAUUGACUUCAGAAUUUCAAUGGCCUCUGUGACAAUUGCUUAGAAUCCUUGCUGUGAGUUCAUUUGACUUUAGCAUCUUUUUUGAGGCUCCUUUUUGGACAGCUGAGAUUCUGUGAUGCAUAAAGUUUUUCCUUUUUCUCUGAAGUCUCUUAAGGGAAGAAUAUAUAUAUAUAUUUUAAUCACGUGUUCAGCAUGUUAAUCAUUUUGGUAUAAGUCAUUUAGCUAUAGCAAAACAAAGGUUUAAGAUUCAUCAGAUGAACUUAGAUGACCGCAGGGCCAGCUGUUUCCCUAACCAUAAAGACACAAGCAGAAAACACUUGUAGGUGUAAGAUUGUACAUGUGUCUCCUGCCAUAACUACUUUCAGUUUGAAGGACAAAGACUUUCCUCCUUUAUUUGCUUUUAGAACACGUGUAUUACAACCUAUACUCUGUUGGAUUAAUUGCCCGUUACUAUUUAUUGUUCUUAUUAGAUUAAUUGCCCGUUGGAUUAAUUGCCCGUUACUAUUUAUUGUUCUUAUUUUCUAUUUUAUUUAUUGUUCUUAUUUUCUAUUUUAAAGUGGCAGUUACUUUGAUACUGAGAAUAUUUUGGGAACAGAGCAAGUUUAUGUGGUAAAUUCCGGAACUUUAGCUUUUAGUAUCAAAGAAAGCUUUCCUGACAACAUUAAGUGACAGCCUUUUGUGCGUUAAGACAUGACUUACUUCAUUCCAGCAUUAGCAGCUGAUAUUUGAUCAGCUUGUUAGAUGUAGAAGGUCUCACUGAAGUUAAAGUAGAUUUUUGUUUGCUUGCUUGCUUGCUUGUUUUUGAGACGGAGUUUUGCUCUUGUCACCCAGGCUGGAGUGCAAUGGUGUGAUCUCGGCUCACUGCAACCUCCACCUGCUGGGUUCAAGCGAUUCUCCUGCCUCAGCCUCCCGAGUAGCUGGGAUUACAGGUGCCUGCCACCAUGCCCAGCUAAUUUUUGUAUUUUUAGUAGAGAUGGGGUUUCACCAUGUUGGCCAGGCUUGUCUUGAACUCCUGACCUCAGGCAUUCGCCCGCCUCAGCCUCCCAAAGUGCCGAGAUUACAGGCGUGAGCCACGGCACCUCGCCUAAAGUAGAUGUUUUUACUCUCUUCAGAGAUUUUACAGAUUAACUAACUUCUGAGUAUUUUUUAAACAACUCUUCUUUAUUGUGACUUUGCUUCAGUGAGAGCAGAACCGGAAGAACGUGGGACAAGAACUUGCUGGCCUUUUUGAGAGGCCAUAAGCAGAUGAAAUGAAAGGAAAUACAUGAACACUUUUCUGGAUAUAUCUUUCUUGUGCUUUUGGUUUAGCAGAAGUAAAGAGUGUCCUUAGAGAUUUCUUUUGUCAUGUGUCUGUAUAACCAUCCACCGAUCUCCAGGUUGAAGAAUGUACACUGUGGUCUGAAGUUUUGAAAUGUUGCCUGCUUAAAAUAUCUAGUUGAAUAGUGAAAUAAAAUGCAGUAAAGAUUAUUAGCUUGAACCUGCCCUAUGGAAAGCGUAGUGUUAAGUUACCAAAUUAAGAUAUUUGUAGACCUAGAAAUCAUGCAUUUUAAUCGAACAUAAAUGUUUCUAUCACAUUUGCUUACAUAGAGAAUAUUAGUCGUAGCAAUACUCCUUCUUGGUUAUAGUUUUUAAAGCACUCUUGUAGAAAUUAUUUGGUUCUCACAGUAUCUGCAUGUUAGACCUGCCAAAGGAGGUAAGUACAUUGCAGCUGGGAAGUGUUAAGCACCCGGCUCACAGACAUGCUCCAGAACCAUCUAGCACCCAUCUCAGGCUGGUCAGUUGCAGUCCCUUAAGCUUCUCCUUUAGGUUCUGGGCUUGCCAUGUUAGACAUCACUCUGUCAGUAUUUUAAGGGAGCUAGGCUUCCCACUAAAGUUUACGUUAGAUGAACUUACAAAUGAGAUGACUCUGAUUCACAAAAGCUUGUUGGGCUUUGCAUGCUUUUCGUAAUUUAUGGAGCUUACUGUAAUUUACACCGAUUCACAUGACUUUUAUAAGUCAUUAUACAUGACAUACUUAUUUUACUUUUUUGAGACGGGGUCUCACUCUGUUGCCCAGGCUGGAGUACAGUGGCAUGGAUCUCGACUUAACGCAACAUCCACCUCCCGGGGUCAAGCAAUCCUCCCACCUCAGCCUCCUGAGUAGCUGGACCAUAGGCACACAGCACUGUGCCCAGCUCAUUUUUGUAUUUUUCUGUAGAGACAGAGUUUCGCCAUGUUGCCCAGACUGGUCUCAAACUGCUGGACUCAAGCAACCCGCCAGUCUCGGCCUCCCAAAGUGCUGGGAUUAUAGGCAUGAGCCACCAUGCCCAGACUUUGACACACUGAUUUAAUUGUUAAUCUCUUUUUACUGAAGCUGAACCCUCGAAGUCAUGGGGUGAACAGGUGACAGAGCCAAUCAUAAAAACCAUAUUCUUUCUCCUUGUUCAUUGCUGACAUUCUUUGAUAGUCAUGUCCCUAAACCCAAGUGAGGCCCUCAGGGCAUUGACCACUAAAGACCAAUUACUUUUUCAUCAAAAGUGCAAAGUGGUAAUUCAAACUUCCUUUAACUGUCAAGCAUCCUGGGCUACAGAGCUAAGAAGAUAAUCAACAAUCAAAAGGUGAUAUGAUUAUUUCAAGUUCCCCUCUUUAGAGUUCAUGGCUGUUGCUGAUGAUGCUGGUGCGAGAAUAGUGUUUUAACCUUAGCGCCCACCCAUGGUAACGACGAAGGCAGCAGGAGGACAGGUGGGAGGUUCCAGAGUUGUCAGCACGUUGGUGAAAUGCCUGCGCUCAUUUUAACGAUGCCGUGGAUGUUUGUGUUUGCCUUCCGUUGGCUGUUUCAAACUUAACUUUCUAGUUUGACAAUCAUAUUUUACCUUCAGUGAUUCUUUUGUUUCAGAACUGAUUGUGUCCUCUAAUAGCUAACUAAUAUCUUUGUAUAUUUUGAUUAUUUCUAGUAAUCUUUGUUAAUUUUAUUCAUAUAUACACAAUUUGGAAAACCCUCUUGCUGUAGUUAUGAAUACUUUUUAUAGAUGCUAAGAUUUUAAAAUUGCUGGAAUAGAUAAUAAAUUUGCAAUUUUCUUUUUAAAUGACUUACCUUUUUUCCCCUACUGUGUCAGGAACCUUAAAGGCGAUGUUUCAAGGUUGGUGGGUCUCAUAACUGCUUUGCUUGCUUUUCCCUGAAAGGUGUCUGUCUUUUCACGGGAGUUUCUCUAACAUGCUUUGCAGAGUGAUGCUUUGCCUCACUGCAGGCCGCUGAUUGUUUUGCUAAUGCUUUUUAUCUGUGCUUUAGGAAACUGCAGAUCUGAAGCUGUCUUAUUUAUGGCAACUUCUCUUUGAGGCACUAAUGCUUAUGUUGGUGUGGAACAUCAAAAGAAUGCUUCUUAACUCAUUUUCAAGCCCCGAAAAGUUUAUAUUUCACUAGACCUUAGCUUUUCAGCUGUUUGAAGAAGUAUGCGUUUUUCGAGAAUCAUUGUCCAUUCACUUUAGUGCUACUCAAAAGAGCUGCUCCCAGAAAGCCCUGGAGGAUAAAAACAGGGCUUCCUUAUUUGGGGAUUUGCUGUUAGGCUGACAGUGACCAGCUGGUGACAAGUGUGAUGCCAGGCACAGCAGUCCUGUGAGGCUGGUCUGAUGUCUUGCUGGUACCGUCUGGUCAGAAUUAAAGCAGCCCCCCGGGAAAGUUGGCCUAGAAUGUAGAACUUAAAAUGGCAGUCCUCUUUUUUCUUUUUGGUUCACAUGUAUUUAAUGUAAUUUAGGUACACUUUUUUACAUCUGUCAGAUUUGAAUGAAAUAACUGAUUUUUUUAUUGAACAUUGUGUUCAUGCUUUUGAAGAAUUAAACUGCUUUUUCUAAAGGUGACGUGGGAUUGUGUGUAUGUGAACAUGAAUGUCUGUUUUCAGUUUCUGCAUUAAAGUAUUUAGAUGCCUAGCGUGUGCAAGAUAUUUUAUGUAGCAUAUUAAUUUUGAAUGUUUUUAAAUUAUUGAGGUUAUGUCCUUAAAUAAAUAUAGAUAAUGAUUAAAAUGUUUUAUUCUGGAAAAAAACAAAGUUAGGCAUUUUAGUGAAAAGAAGUUUAUAAUUUUCCCUUUCAACAUCUUCCGAAGAAUGCAUUGCAUAAAAUAUUGUGUUCUUAUUUUCAAACAGGAUUUUAGUCAAUGGAAUAAGUUCAGCAUUCCCUUGAACUUACUUUACUUUUUCCUCUCGUGUUUCAGGAAACUCUUAUCACUACUGUUGAUUCUAGUUCCAGUUGGUGGACCAACUGGGUGAUCCCUGCCAUCUCUGCAGUGGCCGUUGCCUUGAUGUAUCGCCUGUACGUGGCGGAAGACUGAACACCUCCUCAGAAGUCAGUGCAGGAAAAGCCUGCUUUGGACACAGGAGAAAAGAAGCCAUUGCUAACUACUUCAACUGACAGAAACCUUCACUUGAAAACAAUGAUUUUAAUAUAUCUCUUUCUCUUUCUUCCGACAUUAGAAACAAAACAAAAAGAACUGUCCUUUCUGAGCUCAAAUUUUUCGAGUGUGCCUUUUUAUUCAUCUACUUUAUUUUGAUGUUUCUUUAAUGUGUAAUUUACUUAUUAUAAGCAUGCUCUUUUAAAAAUAUAUUUGGCUUUUAAAGU